UACCCGGAGAAAACCCACGCAUGCAUGGGGAGAACACGCAACUCCACGCAGAAAGGCCGCAGCCGAGUUUUGAUCCUGCGACCUUCGUGUUGCGAGGCUACAGUGCUAACCACUGCGCCACCAUGCAGCCAUGUUAUGGAUAGCUUUUCCAUGGGAACACAUAUUGUGGCACUGCAGGUGUUCAAAUGUUAUGGUUUCCAGCAGACUCUUGCAGACUUCAUGUCUGCAACGGUCUCACUCUGUGGGUGAAAGUUCUCAGCAACCCAGCUCUUGACCCAGCCGGGCAAAGUAUAACUUUUGGCACAGAAAACCCAUAUUUCCUCAUGUUACAGCAGUAACCAGUCUCCCCAGGGUCUCCUCCAGCCUCUGUCGGUCCCUCCUCAUCCGUGGUCACACAUCGCCCUGGAUUUUGUAACUGGUCUCCCCACAUCCAGAGGGUUCACUGUCAUACUCACCAUUGUCGACCGUUUUUCUAAAGCCUGCCAUCUGGUCCCACUGAUGUCAGUCCCUUCAUCUGCUGAAACCGCUGAACUGCUCGUGAAACAUGUUUUCUGCCUUCAUGGCCUGCCAACAGAAAUCCUGUCAGACCAAGGUUCCCAGUUCAUAUCCCGGGUCUGGACCGAGUCUGCCUCUAUCAGCAGGUGAGGUAACCUGGCAGUCAGCUGUUUGUGCUGCAGGUGGGCGUGGCAUGAGCUCCAGCUGAUCCUGAUUCCGCUAAUCAGAGGGCCAGGGGAUUUAAGGAGCGGUGUGACACAACUCCAGUGCCGGUUGAUACUCUCACCAGGUAUCGCGUCUCGCAUCCUCCAACCACGCCCGGAGUUGUUUUCCUCAUCCUGUCGCUCAGGAUCCUCUGGCCUCCACUCUCCAUCGCUCUGCCUGCCUGCCUGCCAACCUACAUGCUGGACUCACACAACUUUCUUCUUUUUUUUUUUCACACAACUCACACAACCUUCUCCUGUCCACCUCCUCUACAACCAUCGGACCUGCUGCCUCUCCUCCACUGAACUUCACCCAGUCCACCACAGCUAAGAACUGGUUUAAGACCGUAAGAACAAUUCAAACACCAAACUUAUUAUUCUCUUGGUUCUCUGGUUCCGCCUCGUAUUGUCAUGUGCCGGGGUGAGUACUCCUCUCAUUGUUUCCAUCUUUGAGUUGCUGUGUUUCAGGAGAGGGAGGCUCCAAUUGCAGCUCAUUGACAAUCAGCGGGUCCAGCUAUAAGAGGAGGAGGAGAACACAUCUCGACGCCGGAUGAUUAACUACAACUUGGAUUUUUGGAUCAUUGUGGACCUUACCUUGAUUCCUCAGGAUACUCCUUGGACUUCUGAAGCUCCUCUGGUUCUCCUGUGGCUCCCCAAUUACCUUUCCACAGUCCCGCUGGAUUACUCGCCUUCGCUGGAUAACUCACCUGUGCUUCAUAAAUCUUCUGGACGCAGCACUCACUGUUCGCCUCUCAUCCCUGCCGGUGUUGUGCCAUAAAUCGACUCGCUGCCAAAAACUGAUUAGCCACCGCGGGAUCGCGCACGGUUAGGGCAAUUGCAUUUCUAGACGAAAUUCUCCAGGAUUUCGCCCUAAAACUCAGCAUAUCUAGCAAUAUGGACAUUCAGAAAGCAGAGGUAACCUCUUCCAGUACUUAAACAGAUGUUUAUCGCGGAUAUUAGUUUUUCCAGUUCGGAAGUUGUUUUAAGUGUUGCUAUUUGUCUUAAACGUUCACAAUGAGGAUAUAUUAAUCCUUUUUGCAAUAUUUGCGAAUGAAAGACGGAUUGUGGUCAGAACUGGCUUUCUUUAUGCUACAGCCUUGAUACAAAAAAUAAAUAAACAAUGUAAAAUGGCGCCCUGUAUUGAAUGUAAACGUUGUAUAAAUGGAAAUAAACAUUUCUCCAGCGAUUUUGAUUUAUCCCCCCUUCCUUUCUUUAGUCUACUUGACAUGGAGCCACGGUUAACUAGUUUGGGGCACAUUUUUACUUGAAAAGUAGUAUUUAAACUGAUCAAGCUUUGGCUUUAA